rnacentral:rRNA from 1 species
CCUACGGGGGGCUGCAGUGGGGAAUAUUGGACAAUGGGGGAAACCCUGAUCCAGCCAUGCCGCGUGAGUGAUGAAGGCCUUAGGGUUGUAAAGCUCUUUCACCCACGACGAUGAUGACGGUAGUGGGAGAAGAAGCCCCGGCUAACUUCGUGCCAGCAGCCGCGGUAAUACGAAGGGGGCUAGCGUUGUUCGGAAUUACUGGGCGUAAAGCGCACGCAGGCGGUGAUCAUAGUCAGAAGUGAAAGCCCUGGGCUCAACCCGGGAAGUGCUUUUGAUACUGGAUCGCUAGAAUCACGGAGGUGGUAGUGGAAUUCCGAGUGUAGAGGUGAAAUUCGUAGAUAUUCGGAAGAACACCAGUGGCGAAGGCGACUACCUGGCCGUCGAUUGACGCUCAUGUGCGAAAGCGUGGGGAGCAAACAGGAUUAGAUACCCCUGUAGUC